AACGGGUGGUAAUGCCGGAUGCUCCAUCACACCGCAUGGUGUGUUGGGAAAGCCUUUGCGGCAUGGGAUGGGGUCGCGUCCUAUCAGCUUGAUGGCGGGGUAACGGCCCACCAUGGCUUCGACGGGUAGCCGGCCUGAGAGGGCGACCGGCCACAUUGGGACUGAGAUACGGCCCAGACUCCUACGGGAGGCAGCAGUGGGGAAUAUUGCACAAUGGGCGCAAGCCUGAUGCAGCGACGCCGCGUGAGGGAUGGAGGCCUUCGGGUUGUAAACCUCUUUUGUUAGGGAGCAAGGCAUUUUGUGUUGAGUGUACCUUUCGAAUAAGCACCGGCUAACUACGUGCCAGCAGCCGCGGUAAUACGUAGGGUGCAAGCGUUAUCCGGAAUUAUUGGGCGUAAAGGGCUCGUAGGCGGUUCGUCGCGUCCGGUGUGAAAGUCCAUCGCUUAACGGUGGAUCCGCGCCGGGUACGGGCGGGCUUGAGUGCGGUAGGGGAGACUGGAAUUCCCGGUGUAACGGUGGAAUGUGUAGAUAUCGGAAAG
rnacentral:rRNA from 1 species